rnacentral:rRNA from 1 species
ACGCUCGACACCUACGGGAGGCAGCAGUGGGGAAUAUUGCACAAUGGGGGAAACCCUGAUGCAGCGACGCCGCGUGAGUGAAGAAGUAUUUCGGUAUGUAAAGCUCUAUCAGCAGGGAAGAAGAUGACGGUACCUGAGUAAGAAGCCCCGGCUAACUACGUGCCAACAGCCGCGGUAAUCUGAGCGGCUGGCAAGGC